rnacentral:snRNA from 1 species
UUAAUUACCUGGCAGGGGAGAUACCAUGAUCACGAAGGUGGUUUUCCCAGGGUGAGGCUCAUCCAUUGCACUGCGGGUGUGCUGACCACUGAGAUUUCCCCAAAUGUGGGAAACUCAACUGCAUAAAAUAA